rnacentral:rRNA from 1 species
CGUAGGGUGCGAGCGUUAAUCGGAAUUACUGGGCGUAAAGCGUGCGCAGGCGGUUAUAUAAGACAGAUGUGAAGUCCCCGGGCUCAACCUGGGAACUGCAUUUGUGACUGUAUAGCUAGAGUACGGCAGAGGGGGAUGGAAUUCCGCGUGUAGCAGUGAAAUGCGUAGAUAUGCGGAGGAACACCGAUGGCGAAGGCAAUCCCCUGGGCCUGUACUGACGCUCAUGCACGAAAGCGUGGGGAGCAAACAGGAUUAGAUACCCUGGUAGUCCACGCCCUAAACGAUGUCAACUGGUUGUUGGGUCUUCACUGACUCAGUAACGAAGCUAACGCGUGAAGUUGACCGCCUGGGGAGUACGGCCGCAAGGUUG